CAGAGCUUGUCCCUCCCCUUGUCCUCAUGGGGAGGAAGUGCAGCUGCUGAGAGCUUAGAGGCUGUGAGGACCGGACCUGCACACUGUGGAUCCUGAGUGCACAGCAGUGUCACCUUGGUCCUAACAAGGCCCAUACCAGAGCUUCGGGGGAGCCCGGUCAGCUCCACUGACCUAGUGGUAACCCGGAGCCCUGCUCUGCUGUUGGCGGCACAAGGCGAGGGUCAGGGCUGUGCACUCGGGGCUCAGAAGACUUUGUCCAAAGCCCUGCUCCACCAUCCCCAGAAGCACAAGUCUGACUUCGAAGCCUCUCUGGAGACAUGAGCUUCCCCUAUGUGGAGGGUUUUGUGAGCAGCUGGAAAAGAGGGCACGGAGGGCCACAUGCACAGCGACGGGCACUCUGCAACAGCUUUCCCCAACGCUCCUGUCAACACGUGUUCAUCAUUUGCUAAUGGUGCAGCCUGAGGAACUGAAAGGGACAGAGAGUUCGGGACGAAGCACAGUGGUUCUCAAACAUUAGCAUGCGUCAGCAUCAUGAGGAGAUUGUGUUAAAAUACGUAUCAGGGCCCCACCCCCAGAGUUUCUGAUUCAGCAGGUCUGGGGCAGGGCCUGAAGAUUUGUGUUCCUAACACGGUCCCAGGUGAUCCGAGCUGCUGCCCCAGAGGCCCCACUUGGGGAGGAAAGCAAACAUGCGACAGCCUGGUGGAGUUUCCAGGCACGCUGAGUGCCGUUCCUGGAGAUGUAUGGCCACCGUGGACCCCUGCAGAUGACCAGAGUUAGGGACCUGUGCAAAACCCAGCUCAGAUCCUGUCAGCAGACUGGUGUGCAAAGAGACUGCUCGGUUUAAGUCCUAAUAAAAUGUUUAGGGGUUGUAUAUUUCACUUUUCGUGAUGGAAAAUGUGACCCAAAUUCUCAAUCAUCCAACCAACUGCAGGUCCUACUCACAUUAGAUUUCAGGACUUCUACUGUUCUUAAAUAUUUUGUAGCGACUCACAACAACAUUCAGUAAUUCUUCCUGCUUAUCAAAAAUGACAGUAUUCGGGACACCUGGGUGGCUCAGCGGUUGAAAUGUCUGUCUUCGGCUCAGGGCAUGAUCCUAGAGUCUGGGGAUCGAGUCCCACAUUGGGCUCCCUGCAUGGAGCCUGCUUCUC